rnacentral:rRNA from 1 species
AGAGUUUGAUCCUGGCUCAGGACGAACGCUGGCGGCGUGCCUAAUACAUGCAAGUCGAGCGAGCGGAACCAGCAGAUCUGCUUCGGUAGUGACGCUGGGAAAGCGAGCGGCGGAUGGGUGAGUAACACGUGGGGAACCUGCCCCAAAGUCUGGGAUACCACUUGGAAACAGGUGCUAAUACCGGAUAAGAAAGCAGAUCGCAUGAUCAGCUUUUAAAAGGCGGCGUAAGCUGUCGCUAUGGGAUGGCCCCGCGGUGCAUUAGCUAGUUGGUAGAGUAACGGCCUACCAAGGCAAUGAUGCAUAGCCGAGUUGAGAGACUGAUCGGCCACAUUGGGACUGAGACACGGCCCAAACUCCUACGGGAGGCAGCAGUAGGGAAUCUUCCACAAUGGACGCAAGUCUGAUGGAGCAACGCCGCGUGAGUGAAGAAGGUUUUCGGAUCGUAAAGCUCUGUUGUUGGUGAAGAAGGAUAGAGGUAGUAACUGGCCUUUAUUUGACGGUAAUCAACCAGAAAGUCACGGCUAACUACGUGCCAGCAGCCGCGGUAAUACGUAGGUGGCAAGCGUUGUCCGGAUUUAUUGGGCGUAAAGCGAGCGCAGGCGGAAAAAUAAGUCUAAUGUGAAAGCCCUCGGCUUAACCGAGGAACUGCAUCGGAAACUGUUUUUCUUGAGUGCAGAAGAGGAGAGUGGAACUCCAUGUGUAGCGGUGGAAUGCGUAGAUAUAUGGAAGAACACCAGUGGCGAAGGCGGCUCUCUGGUCUGCAACUGACGCUGAGGCUCGAAAGCAUGGGUAGCGAACAGGAUUAGAUACCCUGGUAGUCCAUGCCGUAAACGAUGAGUGCUAAGUGUUGGGAGGUUUCCGCCUCUCAGUGCUGCAGCUAACGCAUUAAGCACUCCGCCUGGGGAGUACGACCGCAAGGUUGAACUCAAAGGAAUUGACGGGGGCCCGCACAA